rnacentral:misc_RNA from 1 species
AAAGUCGUAACAAGGUUUCCGUAGGUGAACCUGCGGAAGGAUCAUUAUUGAGAGAUUGGAUAGCACACAGUGCAAGACAGAUACCAUGAUUUAAAUCAUUAGAGACAUAUAAAGAGACAACUUUUAGCAACGGAUCUCUAGGUUCUC